UGGGGAAUUUUGGACAAUGGGCGAAAGCCUGAUCCAGCAAUGCCGCGUGUGUGAAGAAGGCCUUCGGGUUGUAAAGCACUUUUGUCCGGAAAGAAAUGGCUCUGGUUAAUACCUGGGGUCGAUGACGGUACCGGAAGAAUAAGGACCGGCUAACUACGUGCCAGCAGCCGCGGUAAUACGUAGGGUCCAAGCGUUAAUCGGAAUUACUGGGCGUAAAGCGUGCGCAGGCGGUUGUGCAAGACCGAUGUGAAAUCCCCGAGCUUAACUUGGGAAUUGCAUUGGUGACUGCACGGCUAGAGUGUGUCAGAGGGGGGUAGAAUUCCACGUGUAGCAGUGAAAUGCGUAGAGAUGUGGAGGAAUACCGAUGGCGAAGGCAGCCCCCUGGGAUAACACUGACGCUCAUGCACGAAAGCGUGGGGAGCAAACAGGAUUAGAUACCCUGGUAGUCCACGCCCUAAACGAUGUCAACUAGUUAGUUGGGGAUUCAUUUCCUUAGUAACGUAGCUAACGCGUGAAGUUGACCGCCUGGGGAGUACGGUCGCAAGAUUAAAAGCUCAAAUG
rnacentral:rRNA from 1 species